rnacentral:miRNA from 1 species
UGCGUGCGUGCGCGCGUGUGUGUGUGUGUGUGUGUGUGUGUGUGUGUUUGUGUGUGCCACGCUACAGGCAUACUCCCUC